UACGUAGGGUGCAAGCGUUGUCCGGAAUUAUUGGGCGUAAAGAGCUCGUAGGCGGUUUGUUGCGUCGGCUGUGAAAUCCCGAGGCUCAACCUCGGGUCUGCAGUCGAUACGAGCAAACUAGAGUGUUGCAGGGGAGACUGGAAUUCCUGGUGUAGCGGUGAAAUGCGCAGAUAUCAGGAGGAACACCGGUGGCGAAGGCGGGUCUCUGGGCCACUACUGACGCUGAGAAGCGAAAGCAUGGGGAGCGAACAGG
rnacentral:rRNA from 1 species